UUGCACCUUUCAAGCGAGUGGCGAACGGGUGAGUAACACGUGGAUAACCUGCCUCAAGGCUGGGGAUAACAUUUGGAAACAGAUGCUAAUACCGCAUAAAUCUUGGAACCUCAUGGUUCCAAGCUGAAAGAUGGCGUAAGCUAUCGCUUUUGGAUGGACCCGCGGCGUAUUAGCUAGUUGGUGAGGUAAAGGCUCACCAAGGCGAUGAUACGUAGCCGACCUGAGAGGGUGAUCGGCCACAUUGGGACUGAGACACGGCCCAGACUCC
rnacentral:rRNA from 1 species